rnacentral:rRNA from 1 species
CAGCCGCCGCGGUAAUACGUAGGUGGCAAGCGCUGUCCGGAAUUAUUGGGCGUAAAGGGCUCGCAGGCGGUUUCUUAAGUCUGAUGUGAAAGCCCCCGGCUCAACCGGGGAGGGUCAUUGGAAACUGGGAAACUUGAGUGCAGAAGAGGAGAGUGGAAUUCCACGUGUAGCGGUGAAAUGCGUAGAGAUGUGGAGGAACACCAGUGGCGAAGGCGACUCUCUGGUCUGUAACUGACGCUGAGGAGCGAAAGCGUGGGGAGCGAACAGGAUUAGAUACCCCUGUAGUCCCUGUCUCUUAUAC